GCUAGCAACUAAAAUACUGUAAUUUUUAAUAAAAAUUUACUUUUUAAUAUGAUAUAAAAUUUAAAAUUUUAUUUUAUUUAUAAAUAUUCAAAAAAUAUAAAAAUAAUUUAAUUUUAUAAUUUUUUAUAAUAAUAAUUAUUAUUUUAAGGGCGAGUGACCAUUUGCGGAAUAAUCACUUGAGAAAGCCAUUAACGGGCCUAAAGAAUUUCUUGCUCCCGCUUCUUCAUCUGCGCUCGUAAAAUAUUACACGUGUGAUGCAUAGAUAUAAUUCUUGACAAUAAAUUUUUAAAGAACUUUGACAAAAAAAAGGAAAAAAGAGAUCCAACUUUAAGAAAAGAACACUACCGCAGUUACUGAGGAGGUGGGAAUUGGAUGCAGGAAGGAAAUCCAGUCUUUAAGC
rnacentral:lncRNA from 1 species